rnacentral:rRNA from 1 species
CCUACGGGUGGCAGCAGUGGGGAAUAUUGGACAAUGGGCGAAAGCCUGAUCCAGCCAUGCCGCGUGUGUGAAGAAGGCCUUCGGGUUGUAAAGCACUUUUAGUGGGGAAGAAAGCCUUGGGGCUAAUACCCUCGAGGAAGGACAUCACCCACAGAAGAAGCACCGGCUAACUCCGUGCCAGCAGCCGCGGUAAUACGGAGGGUGCGAGCGUUAAUCGGAAUUACUGGGCGGAAAGCGCGCGUAGGCGGUCUGAUAAGCCGGUUGUGAAAGCCCCGGGCUCAACCUGGGAACGGCAUCCGGAACUGUCAGGCUAGAGUGCAGGAGAGGAAGGUAGAAUUCCCGGUGUAGCGGUGAAAUGCGUAGAGAUCGGGAGGAAUACCAGUGGCGAAGGCGGCCUUCUGGACUGACACUGACGCUGAGGUGCGAAAGCGUGGGUAGCAAACAGGAUUAGAUACCCCUGUAGUC